CUUCCUUCUAAAGUGAAAGUGUUUCUCUUUCCGAAUCGACUCCAUUUUGUUUGUACAAGUUAAAACAUGUUUAUCAGAAGCAGAAACGGUGAUAUUAAUGUGACAGAACAAGGCCUGUUGACUAAAGGAGUGUGAUCCAUUCCAUCAGAAGAGAUCAGACUCUUCAGGACUCAGCUGUGUGUUUGUGUGUAAACUUUACUAAUAUUUAAAGAUGGAGACUCCUGAUCUGGACACAGAUAAUGUUUCUACACCAUCAAACAACUGUAAACUCCAGAGAAAGAGAUCAGAAUCACCAACACACAGCUGUAUCUCCAUGAAGAGUGAUCAGUCUAUGGAUCUUCCUCAGAGAUUUAAAAAUGGAGACUCAUCACUUCUACACAGUAAACUCCAGAGAAAGAGAUCAGAAUCACCAACACACAGUUGUUUCUCCAUGAAAAAUCAUGAGUCUAUGGAUCAUCAUCCAGAGUUUAAAGUUGUAGACUCCUCACUUCUACACAGGUACGACCCAGAAUCUGCUGGUGGAAAUGAAUUCCAGAAAAAGUUCAAAUUAAAUCUGAUGAAGAAGUUUCAGUGUUUGAAUGGAGUGAUAAUAAACCUGGGAACCCAAACACUCCUGAAUGAGAUCUACACAGAGCUCUACAUCACAGAGGGAGACAGUGGAGAAGUCAAUAAUGAACAUGAGGUGAGACAGAUCGAGGCAGCAUCCAGGAGAAGAACAACAGAGGAAACACCAAUCAAAUGCAAUGACAUCUUUAAGCCUUUAUCUGAACAAGACAAACCCAUCAGAACUGUGCUGACAAAGGGAGUAGCUGGCAUCGGAAAAACAGUCUCUGUGCAGAAGUUCAUUCUGGACUGGGCUGAAGGGAAAGUAAAUCAGGACGUCCACCUCAUAUUUCCACUUCCUUUCAGAGAGCUGAACUUGAUGAAGGACCAGAAACUGAGUCUGAUGGAGCUCCUUCAUGUGUUUUUUAUGGAAACAAAAGAAACCAGUUUGGAAGAGGUUCUGUUCAUUUUUGACGGAUUGGACGAGUGUCGUUUUCCUCUAGAUUUCCAGAACACAGUGAGAGUGUGUGAUGUAACUAAAUCAGCAUCAGUGCCUGUGCUGCUGAUAAACCUGAUCAAAGGGAAUCUGCUUCCCUCUGCUCUCAUCUGGAUCACCUCCAGACCUGCAGCAGCUGAUCAAAUCCCCUUUGAGUGUGUGGAUCGAGUCACAGAGGUACGUGGGUUCAAUGACCCACAGAAGGAGGAGUACUUCAGGAAGAGGUCCAGUGAUCAGAGCCUGGCUAAUAAUAUCAUCACACACCUGAAGUCAUUAAGAAGCCUCUACAUCAUGUGUCACAUCCCAGUCUUCUGCUGGAUUUCAGCCACUGUUCUAGAGAGAAUGUUGGGUGAAGCAGAGAGUGGAGAGAUCCCCAAGACUCUGACUCAAAUGUACACACACUUCCUCAUCAUUCAGACAAACAUCAUAAGAGAAAAAUACUCAAAGAAGCAGGAGAGUGAUGAAGAAAUGCUUCUUAAACUGGGACAACUGGCUUUUCAGCAGCUGAAGAAAGGGAACCUGAUCUUCUAUGAUGAAGACCUGAGAGAGUGUGGUAUUGAUGUGACAGAAGCAGCAGUGUACUCAGGUGUGUGUACUCAGAUCUUCAGAGAGGAGUUUGGGCUUCACCAGAGUAAAGUGUACUGCUUUGUUCAUCUGAGCAUUCAGGAGCAUCUCGCAGCUCUGUAUGUGCACCUGACCUUCAUGAAGGAGAAGAGAAAUGUUCUUAAACAGAAUCAGCUUUUCAUACAGGUUUCUCAGAGUUUGAUAAAAUUAGAUAAAAUCUCAGAUGUACACAAGAGUGCUGUAUUUCAGGCUUUAAAAAGUAAGACUGGACAUCUGGAUCUUUUCCUUCGCUUUCUUCUGGGUCUCUCACUGGAGUCCAAUCAUAAACUCUUAUAUGCUUUAGUAACACAGGCAGGAAGUAGCUCCCAGAGCAUAAAGAAUACAGUUCAGUACAUUAAGAAGAAGAUCAGUGAAGAUCUUCCUACAGAAAAAUCCAUCAAUCUGUUCCACUGUCUGAAUGAACUGGGUGAUAAUUCUCUAGAGGAGGAAAUCCAACUCUACCUGAAAUCUGGAAAACAAAGUGAACUUUCUUCUUCACAGUGGUCUGCUCUGGUGUUUGUGUUACUGACAUCAGCACAGGAGCUGGAUGAGUUUGACCUGAGUAAAUAUACCAGUACAGAUAAGAUAACAGAAGAUAUUGUUCUGAAGAUGAUGCCUGUGAUUACAGCAUCCAGUAAAGCAAUUAUCAGCUGUGAUUCACUUGGAGUAAAAAGUUGGUCAUCUCUGGUCUCAGCGCUCAGAUCAGAAACCUCCAAACUGAGAGAACUUCAUCUGACUGUGAAAACACUGGAUCUGUCUGAUAAUAAACUAGGAGACUCAGGAGUGAAGAGUCUCUCUGCUGUACUGGAGAAUCCUCACUGUAAACUGGAGACACUGAAGUUGUUUAAUUGUGGUGUCUCAGAUGAAGGCUGUGCUGCUCUGACUUCAGCUCUGAGAUCAAACCCCUCACACCUGAGAGAACUGGAUCUGUCUGAUAAUAAACUAGGAGACUCAGGAGUGAAGAGUCUCUCUGCUGUACUGGAGAAUCCUCACUGUAAACUGGAGACACUGAGGUUGUAUAAGUGUGGUGUCUCAGAUGAAGGCUGUGCUGCUCUGACUUCAGCUCUGAGAUCAAACCCCUCACACCUGAGAGAACUGGAUCUGUCUGAUAAUAAACUAGGAGACUCAGGAGUGAAGAAUCUCUCUGCUUUACUGGAGAAUCCUCACUGUAAACUGGAGACACUGUGGUUGUAUAAGUGUGGUGUCUCAGAUGAAGGCUGUGCUGCUCUGACUUCAGCUCUGAGAUCAAACCCCUCACACCUGAGACACUUGGAUCUGUCUGAUAAUAAUCUAGGAGACUCAGGAGUGAAGAGUCUCUCUGCUGUACUGAAGAAUCCUCACUGUAAACUGGAGACACUGAGUAUCAGCUGUGAUUCACUUGGAGUAAAAAGUUGGUCAUCUCUGGUCUCAGCGCUCAUAUCAGAAACCUCCAAACUGAGAGAACUUCAUCUGACUGUGAAAACACUGGACCUGUACAGUAAUAAACCAGGAGACUCAGAAGUGAAGAUUCUCUUUGCUGGACUGGAGAAUCCUCACUGUAAAGUGGAGACACUGAAGUUGUACAAGUGUGAUGUCUCAGAUGAAGACUGUGCUGCUCUGACUUCAGCUCUGAGAUCAAACCCCUCACACCUGAGAGAACUGGAUCUGUCUGAUAAUAAACUAGGAGACUCAGGAGUGAAGAGUCUCUCUGCUGUACUGGAGAAUCCUCACUGUAAACUGGAGACACUGAGGUUGUAUAAGUGUGGUGUCUCAGAUGAAGGCUGUGCUGCUCUGACUUCAGCUCUGAGAUCAAACCCCUCACACCUGAGACACUUGGAUCUGUCUGAUAAUAAACUAGGAGACUCAGGAGUGAAGAGUCUCUCUGCUGUACUGAAGAAUCCUCACUGUAAACUGGAGACACUGAGUAUCAGCUGUGAUUCACUUGGAGAAAAAAGUUGGUCAUCUCUGGUCUCAGCGCUCAGAUCAGAAACCUCCAAUCUGAGAGAACUUCAUCUGACUGUGAAAACACUGGAUCUGUACAGUAAUAAACUAGGAGACUCAGGAGUGAAGAUUCUCUCUGCUGGACUGGAGAAUCCUCACUGUAAAGUGGAGACACUGAAGUUGUAUAUGUGUGGUGUCUCAGAUGAAGGCUGUGCUGCUCUGACUUCAGCUCUGAGAUCAAACCCCUCACACCUGAGAGAACUGGAUCUGUCCUGGAAUGAACUAGGAGACUCAGGAGUGAAGAUUCUCUCUGCUGUACUGGAGAAUCCUCACUGUAAACUGGAGACACUGAGGUUGUGGAAGUGUGGUGUCUCAGAUGAAGGCUGUGCUGCUCUGACUUCAGCUCUGAGAUCAAACCCCUCACACCUGAGACACUUGGAUCUGUCCUAUAAUAAACUAGGAGACUCCGGAGUGAAGAGUCUCUCUGCUGUACUGGAGAAUCAUCACUGUAAACUGGAGACACUGAAGUUGUAUAAUUGUGGUGUCUCAGAUGAAGGCUGUGCUGCUCUGACUUCAGCUCUGAGAUCAAACCCCUCACACCUGAGAGAACUGGAUCUGUCCUAUAAUAAACUAGGAGACUCAGGAGUGAAGAUUCUCUCUGCUGUACUGGAGAAUCCUCACUGUAAACUGGAGACACUGAGGUUGUGUGGUUGUGGUGUCUCAGAUGAAGGCUGUGCUGCUCUGACUUCAGCUCUGAGAUCAAACCUCUCACACCUGAGACACCUGGAUCUGUCUCAGAAUAAUCUAGGAGACUCAGUAAAGAAGCUGCUGUCUGAUCUUAAGGAUGAUAAACAUUACAAACUACAGACACUGAUUUGCAGAAGCCAGGCAGAAGUACCAUGGGUACCUGGAUAAAGAGAAAGAAAGAACAACAAGCUGUCGACUUGAAGAGGAAGGCUUUCACCGAUGAGGUGGAAGAUUUGGAAAAAAAAGAUGAGGGCUAGGAUGGAGGCGGACAUUUGUGCUAUUGAGAAAUUGGCGGAUGAAUAUGCUGAAAAGGCUGAAUCUUCAGGCAAUCUGAUCUUACAGUUUUUUACAAUGGCUAUGACAGUUUUUUCAAUACAUUUAACAAGUUUACUAAACUCUUAACAUGGUUAGCACAACAUCCGUCUUUGUAGGCUAUAAAUGCAUACAGUUAACACCAAUUUAAAAUGCUUGAACUUCUUUUACACACAAGCUCAACCAAGACCAAAACAAUGUAAUUUUACAACACAAAUAUAUUCCCUGUAUUUUAUUCCAUUGCUAAUGAGAAACAGCUUAUUGCAGUUAUGCAAAUAUAUAAAUCACAGCUGAUUCCCAUCUAGGAACCACACUCAGGUGUUGAGGUUUUUUCAAUCGCAUGAUCAUAUGUUCUAAAAGAGGACUCUUUGGGCUGAUCUUGUGUGGAAAAGGAACAAUAUGGAGCAACACAAAGAAAGAAAGAAAGAAAGAAAGAAAGAAUGCCUGCACGAGGGAGAGGAAGACGAGUACCAGUACAAGGGAGAGGAGUGGGGCAAGGACAAGGACAAGGGAGAGGAGUGGGGCAAGGACAAGGACAAGGGAGUUAGAAUGCGUGGUGGUGCUCAAAGAAGGACCAGAGCUAGGGUAACUGAUCAAAUAAGAGCUACUAUCAUUGACCAUGUCAUAAACCACAGGCUAUCAUACAGUGAGGUUGAUGAACGAGUACAGCCAAAUCUCAGCCUGGACACAGUGGCAUCCAUUGUCCGUAUUUUCAGAGAAACCAACAGGAUUCAACAUCUACCUCCCUCAGUGGGCAGAGGAAAGCUCUUGAAUGAAGAACAGGAACUUGCUAUUGCCAACAUGGUGAUUGUUGACAAAUCUGAAGGACAAAAAAACUGAAGGACGUUCACUCCAGAGUUGUAGAGGACAACCUUGUCUUUGGGAACAUCGCAGUAAUCAGCAUAACAUCCAUUUCUCGGACUCUAGCUAAACACAGAGUCCGAAUGAAACAACUAUACAAAGUUCCUUUUGAAAGGAACAGUGAGCGCAUCAAAGAACUCCGUCACCAAUACAGGUACAUCCAGUACUUUCAGAGAGUCAUGGAGUUGGAGGCCAAUCAAGUCUCACAUGAAAUUAUCUAUGUUGACGAGGCUGGCUUCAAUUUGGCAAAAAGGCGUCGCUGUGGGAGAAACAUAAUUGGCAAAAGGGCCACAGUUACCGUGCCAGGCCAGAGAGGAGCCAACAUCACAAUCUCCAACAACGGUGCACUUCUGCAUAAAUGUGAGAUUUGCCCCUACAACUCUGACCACCUUCUCCUGUUUUUAGAAGACCUGCAUGAAAGACUGGUGCCAGAGGUAGAAAGGGGACAGGUGGGAGACCACUUGCCAAUAUAUGGGACAAUGUGGCAUUCCACCAUUCACGUGCAGUCACAGCCUGGUUUGACGCCCAUACAAGGAUGAUGUCCUCAGCCUGGAGAUGGAAAGUUUUUGACCAUCAUCCACAUGACCAAAUGUUAGUGUUGCAAAAUUCCAGGAAUUUUCAAGGCUGGAAACUUUCCAUGGGAAUUAACGGGAAUAUAUGGAAAUAAACUGGGAAUUUAAAAAAAUGCAGAGUUGCCUAUAACAAGGAACUUAGAUGUAGUUAAAAAAAAUCUUGCAGCAUAAUUUUAUUUUAAAACAACAAGAUUUAAUGCAAUUUAAGUUGACUUUAAGUUGAAUACCCUGCAUUCCUCGGUCACUUGCACACAGCACACUGCUUACUGGAGUGGCAUUGAGGCCAAAGCCCCUGCAGGUACUUGCAUUCUUCCAUAACAUGCACAGUAACACUUUAUUUUAGGGUCAUUUAACUAGUUGUGUAAUAGCAUGAAUAUUAAUAGAAUAUUGGCUAUUUAUUAGUACUUAUUAGGGACAUAUGAAUGCCUUAUUCUGCAUUACCUUAUUGUACAAUCUUGAUAGUACCCAAUACCUAAACUUAAUAACUACCUUACUAUCUUUUAAUAAGCAGUAAAUUAGGUGUGUUACCACAUUCACAGAUAAUUUGAUGACCCUCCCCACACACUCACUCCCCCUAAAAAAAAAAAAAUCCUCCAUAUAUCACUUAAGGUGGGGGCGUGUUUCACCUCCAUUUUCCAGGCCUUGACUACCACAGAAGCAGAGACCUAAUAAGCUUGAGAAAAAAUGCUUCAUUUUACAUUUUGAUUGGGACUCUUUUUUAGAAGUGCAAGGGUUUGGGAUGCUUUCAUUUUACAGCAAUCAUAGGGAAAUAUGUUUAUUACAGUUAUUAAGUUUAUUAUGUUUAUUACAAUCAUAAUAAUGUUUGUUAUGCUUUUGUGUUACUCAAUGAAAGAAUCAGUUACAGUUUUUCUUGAUUGCUAAGACACAUUUCUUGAAAGCUGCUCUCCUUUUCUCUAAACUGUGAACACAAAACCCAAUUCUCUAUCCUCAGACUCUCCUUGCAAAACCAAACUUUCACCUCAAAACAGUUCAAUCUGUGCUCAGAAAUGAACUAUGUUGUCAAAUCGUGCCCCGAGUCAAUCAAAAUUAAAAUCACUACAGAACAGUCACUAAACACUACGUAGAAAAAUAGAAAACACAAUGCUCAGGACAUGAAGCUUGAGAAAUAAAUGUUUAUUGUUCACUGUAGGCUAAAUGCAUGUUGCAAAACAAAAAAAACCUGUGCAUUUAGCACUUGUACAAAAAAAAAACACAGAAAUCUUGUGCAUUUACACGUAGCACUUGUAAAAACAAACAGAAAUCUUAUGCGUUUGCCACUUGUGUACAGUAAGUCCAUGUAAAAAUAAAGUACAAAAAUACACAAAUAAGUGCAUUACUCAGCCACAGCAUCAUGUCUCAGUACUGGGUCAGGCCACAGGACUUCAUCCACAUCACAGGCCACAUUUUGUCUGGCCAGGCAACGGGGGAAAAAACCCCUGGCAUGCCGUAUCCAGGCUUGGCAUGUCUCCACACCUAUGUCACCACAGGCAUGAGGAGAAGAAUGAGGAGAAGAAUUCCUCAAUGGGGUUUAGAAAAGGGGAGUACGGUGGAAGGCAAAGAUUGAUAAAACCUUGGUUCAUAUUGAACCACUCUCUAACCUGGAGGGCUCUGUGAAAACUCACAUUGUCCCAAACAACAACAUAGAUUGGAUGCUCAUCCUGCUGCCCUAACAGAGCAUCUCACAUGCGAUUGAGGAAAAUGAGGAGCUGGUGAGUGUUGUAGGGCCCCAGGUUGGCAUGAUGGUGGACAACCCCAUGAUUGCUGAUGGCAGCACAUAAUGUGACAUUGCCACCACGCUGCCCAGGAACACCAACAAUGGCCCGAUGGCCAAUCACAUUACAGCCUCUCCUUUUCCUUUUGGUGAGAUUAAACCCAGCUUCAUCCAUGUACAGUACACGUGUUCAUGGGGUCUUUCCAUUGCAUCCAGUUGAAGAACCCUCUGUAGAAAUAGAUAUAGUUUUGUGAGUGAUACGGAAAAAGUGAUUUAGGCCACUACAGUAAAUCACUACUUAGAGUAAUCAACAUUGAAUGUGUCUGGAUAUAUGCCAACCUGUACAUCCUGGAAUCUUUGCUCUUUGACUCUGUCUGAGUUGCGAUCAAAGGGCACUCUGUAUAGCUGUUUCAUGCGCAGUCUGUUGCGCUUGAGGACAUGAUCAACAGUAGAGAGGCCGACACUGUUGAUACCCUCAAAAUUUACAUGGUCUUCAAUGAUCUUCUGCUGAAUUUCACUCAGUUUAAUGGCAUUGUUCUCACGGACCAUAUCAACAAUUAGGGUCUCUUGGUGUGCGGAGAACAUACCUGUCCUCCCACCCCCAUGUGGCAGUCUUUCAAUUCUACAAAAAGAGAACAUGGAGUUACAAAAUAUAUACAUGGAAUACUAGACCUACAAACAGUUAGACCAACCCUCCAUUAUAAUACUACAGUACAUUGGUACAGUGAUGUACUAUAAUGUCAAAAAAGGGUAAUUACCUGUUCUCUUCUAUAAAUCUUUGGAUUAUGGUGGACACAGUGAAUCUCCUGAUGUUUGGUUGUACCCUUUGUCCAGCCUCCCUCAUGCUCAUACCAUGGACAAGAACAUGAUCAAUCACAGUAGCUCUGAUUUCAUCAGAUAUUACUGUUCUUUGUCUUCGCUGACCACCUCGACCUCCUCUCACAAGAGAUCUUCCUCUCAGACUUCUAUCCAUUGUAGGGUCUCACAAACCAGUGCUCUCUGAACUGGCUUGCUGUAUAUGUUCCCUCACAUUAUUAGCCACAAGUGUGAUCAAUUUUGAGUUGUUGUGUUGAAGUGGUGACACCUGUGCUUUAAUUGUGUUUGACUUUUGUCACCUGUGCUCACCAUUAUGCAGCACGGGUGCAUCACAAUGAAAAUGUGUUGGCAAGUUGUGUCUAAACAGAUGAAAAGUGCUUAUGGUUUUGCCAAAAGAGUGAUUGAUUCAAUCAGUGGGUUCAGGCAACUGAGCAUUUGGUUCAGACAAUAGGGUUUAGUGUUUAGUGUAGCUCUACUUACAAUUAAAUCAGUCAAGACGUCAUUUUUUUAAAAUUUGUAUUACCUUGCAUGCAUGUCUGCUUAUGACCAAACAAAAUGUUUAUUUAUGUUUGUAUAUGAUAUAGUUUAUAUACAUUUCCCUAUAUUUCCAAAUAAUUCCCAUAAAUUCCUGUAAAUUUCCUUAAAUUCCCGUAAAGUUUCCAAUUUUGAAUAUUCCCAAAAUUCCCCAGAUUAAGUUCCCGUGGAAAGUUUCUGGAAAAAACUUUCCGCCCCUUUGCAACCCUACCAAAUGUCCCUCCUGGAUGCAAUGGAUGCUGCAUGCCAAGACAUCACAGCUGAACACUGCCAGGGGUGGAUAAGGCAUGCCAAAUGAUUCUUCCCACAAUGCCUUGCCAGAGAAGAUAUCAGGUGUGAUGUGGAUGAGAACAUGUGGCCAAAUGCAGAAGACUGGGCAGAUUAGAAGAUUACUUUGUUUUUUUAUUAUAAUUCCGGUGCUUUUUCUGUUUGUAUAUCUUGCAGUAAUGUCCUUUUGCAAAUAAAGUCUUUACUGCAGCAA